rnacentral:rRNA from 1 species
GGACGAACGCUGGCGGCAUGUCUAACACAUGCCAGUCGAGCGCAUCCUUCGGGGUGAGCGGCGGACGGGUGAGUAUCGCGUGGGAACGUGCCCUUCUCUACGGAAUAGUCUCGGGAAACUGGGGGUAAUACCGUAUACGCCCUUUUGGGGAAAGAUUUAUCGGAGAAGGAUCGGCCCGCGUUGGAUUAGGUAGUUGGUGGGGUAAUGGCUCACCAAGCCGACGAUCCAUAGCUGGUUUGAGAGGAUGAUCAGCCACACUGGGACUGAGACACGGCCCAGACUCCUACGGGAGGCAGCAGUGGGGAAUCUUAGACAAUGGGGGCAACCCUGAUCUAGCCAUGCCGCGUGAGUGAUGAAGGCCCUAGGGUUGUAAAGCUCUUUCAGCUGUGAAGAUAAUGACGGUAGCAGCAGAAGAAGUCCCGGCUAACUCCGUGCCAGCAGCCGCGGUAAUACGGAGGGGACUAGCGUUGUUCGGAAUUACUGGGCGUCCAGCGC